rnacentral:lncRNA from 10 species
GGCUGACAGCUAAGUUGAUUGUCUACUUAGACAAAAGGGGCUGUUUCUACCUUCCUCGCAGGACAAUUACUUAUUCUCUGCUAUAAAAUGCCCCUGGUGCCAAGACCUGUGUUGGUAGAGGCAGUAAACCAAGCAGGUUUAGUUAAGGAGCCUGACUACCCAGCCCCGUCACUCACUCUCUAGCUGUGUGACCUUGGAUCUUUAUUCUCUGAGCCUUGAUUUCCUAUUCAAAAAUAAUAAUAACCACUUCGAUAAACCAUUCUGAGGCUUAAGUGAAAACAAACAAAUGAAACUUGUAAAGUAGUUGGAACAGUGCCAGACACAUAGUAAGCACGUAAUAAUUUUUGUUGUUACUGGGGUCCCAGAGAGGAAUCUACCUGAUUGCUGCCCCAGGAGCCUUGUGACUCUGCUCCUGCCCAUGGUGACCUAAGUCACAUGCCCGCUAUAGCCCCUUCCUUCUUUCCAGAACCUGUUCUCAGUGUUUUCACUCCCUAACCAUCUCAGGCCUCUCUUCUUACUCUGUUUACCAUUCCCGGGAUUACAGGUUGUCUUCAGCCCUCGAAAGAGAUGCACCCCCUUCCAUGCACAUAUAGCAUCCUCUGCAGCCUCAAUAGCCGAAAAUGGGGAAAAUAAUCCUCACGGCCCCAGCAGAUGUGCAGUGGUGGCGGCCUCGCACGAUCCAACCGCAUUCACCCCGGAAGCCGCUUCCACCUCCCUGGAGUCAGAGGUGCUCUGACGUUGCCCUGCGCACCGAGCAACACGAAGCUGCAAGCGGAAGAAUCGUACCGGACUUGACCUUCCUGAUCUGCCAAAAAGCGCUCCGUGACCUUGGCCAGUGACUUCCCCUGCACCACUCUGAGACUCAGUUUCCUCCUCUGCAAAAUGCACGUAGCAGAAGGAGCCCUGAUGGUUAAGUGCCUGGACUCUGGGAUCACACUGCCGGUGUCCAAAACUCUCAGCCCCGCAGCUUCCUGGCUAACUCCUGUCUCAGUCUCAGUUCCCCUCCCUGUAAAGCAGAGGCCCUAGUAGUGCCUGCCUUCUAGAGUAUGUUGUCGUUGUCGUGAGGGUUAAGAGCCACGGCGCUAAGCAUUGAAAACGGGGGCCUGAGAUGCGGUGAAUAGCAGCAAAACACCAGUUAGGAUCACCAGCCUGGGACUGCCUACCUCUCCACGUCCUUAUGGGGGUGGCGGAGAUUCAAGGCAUGAGGGCCGCCAGCCCAGGACUUGGCACUUGCUCCAAAACCUCAUGGCUGCACUCAGAUCUGAAGUGGAUCUCCACAGUCGGGGCGCAACGGACACCUAUAUCCGCAUCCCAUUGCCAAGUUCCUCAGCAAAUGUCAAGGUGUUGAGGGAGAAUCAUCGACAUUUCAGAGUUGGAAGUACAACCCCCCUUAUUCCACAGAGACAAAGUAACUGAGGCCCUGCGAGGAGAGAAGGCCUGUGAAGGACAAUGAUACUCACUGCUGUGGUGGAAGCCAGGCAGGCCCCUUCUGACCCCUGCUGUGCUCCAGCCGGCACACCCGACUUCCCUCUGAGGAAUCUGGGCGUCCCUCAGUGGACGCAGUAAAAAGCUUCUCCAAGUCGACGUAGAACCUGGACCAGCACAGGCAAAGGCACCGCCAACCAUUCUGAAAGUUCUGACAUAACUCCCAGGCCUCAGGCUGCCAAGGCAAGUUUUCUGUCUUCAGAUGAAUAAGCUGCUGUCUCCACUGUUGUGGAGGAUGAUACUCACACUUAAGGGGCCAUAUUUCUACCCUGUUGAUUAGAGGACAGGGAAGGGGAGCUGAGAGAUAAACACAACUAAGCAAUGCAACACCCUCUUUCCCUCCCCUUUCCCUCCAGUAACCCUGCUGGUUGUGGCUGCGGCUAUAAGAGUAUUGGCUGUGACUUUCACUGAUGCCCUUAGGGACACCUGCUGAUAUGAGAGUCUGAAGCUCUGUGGUCAGACAGGCUUGGGUUCCAAACCAGGUCCUGACACACAAGAGCCUCAGCUGCCCCAUCUAUAAAGUGGGAAUAAUAGCCCUGCCAUCUGCUUCUCAGAGUUGUUGGGAGAAUCAACCAGAGUUGCAAUAAACACAAAGCAAGUGGUACUGUGUCUGGCAAAGUGGGAAAAUUUAAUGAAUUAAGGCAGGUAGAAGACCUAGCACUGGUCCUGGCACAUCUGGGGAGUUCAUUAAUUGUGAGUUCCUCCUUCCUCUCCUUUCCCAGGCUGGACCCUGAACCUCGGUAAUCAGGAAAAGAACCUGGGGGCCUUCUGUCUCCCCCACACCCCUUUUUAACAUUUUGAAACAGAAUAUAACAUAAAAUUAACCAUUUUAAAGCAUAAGUUGAGUGGCAUUUAAUGCCUUCACAAUAUUGUGCAACCACCAUCUAUAUCAAGUUCCAAACAUUUUUUGUCGCCUCAAAAGGAAACCCUUUGCUCCUUAGCAGUCACUCCUAUUCCUCCACACCACCCCCAAGACCCUGGCAAUAACCGGUCUGCUUUUUGUUUCUGUGGAUUUACCUAUUCUGGAUAUUUCAUAUAAAUAGAAUCUUACCAUAUGUGACCAUUUGUGUCUGGCUUCUUCACUUGGCAUAAUGUUUUCAAGGUUCACCCCCCUUGUAGCACGUAUCUGUAUUUCAUUCCUUCUGAUGACCGAAUAAUAUUCCAUUGUAUGGAUAUGCCACAUUCUGUUUGUCUGUUCAAACACUGAUGGACAUUUUGGUUGUUCCCAUCUCUCAUUAUUGCAAAUAGUGCUGCUAUAAACAUUUAUGUAC